UUGGAGGGCAAGUCUGGUGCCAGCAGCCGCGGUAAUUCCAGCUCCAACAGCGUAUAUUAAAGUUGUUGCAGUUAAAAAGCUCGUAGUUGAAUUUCGGGGUUAGUAGGUUGGUCAUGCCUCCGGUAUGUACUGGUCUCACUGAUUCCUCCUUCCUGAUGAACCGUAAUGCCAUUAAUUUGGUGUUGCGGGGAAUUUGGACUGUUACUUUGAAAAAAUUAGAGUGUUUAAAGCAAGCUAACGCUUGAAUACAUUAGCAUGGAAUAAUGAAAUAGGACG
rnacentral:rRNA from 1 species